CCUACGGGAGGCAGCAGUGAGGAAUAUUGGUCAAUGGGCGGGAGCCUGAACCAGCCAAGUCGCGUGAGGGAAGAAGGUACUGAGUAUUGUAAACCUCUUUUGCCAGGGGACAAAGGCGGCCACGGGUGGCCGUAAGAGGGUACCUGGAGAAAAAGCAUCGGCUAACUCCGUGCCAGCAGCCGCGGUAAUACGGAGGAUGCGAGCGUUAUCCGGAUUUAUUGGGUUUAAGGGGUGCGUAGGCGGAUCGUUAAGUCGGUGGGAAAAUUUAGGGGCUCAACCCCUUACCGCCAUUGAAACUUGCGCUCUUGAGUGGAAGAGAAGUAUGCGGAAUGCGUGGUGUAGCGGUGAAAUGCAUAGAUAUCACGCAGAACCCCGAUUGCGAAGGCAGCAUGCCGGCUUCCGACUGACGCUGAAGCACGAAAGCGUGGGGAUCGAACAGGAUUAGAUACCCUGGUAGUC
rnacentral:rRNA from 1 species